GCGGUUCACACUGUCGAAUCCUACUUCUGUACAAGAUUCCCAACUGGUAUGCAUCUAAUUUCUCCUUUUUUUUGUUUGUGUCGAUUAAUUUUGCGAAAUUUCGAUUUUGUGGUUACUCUAGUCGAAAAAUCAAACAAGGUUGCUUUAGACUUCUAAUUUGUACAUGUCGAUCUAAGAUAAACAGUUUUGAUUGUGAAAACAUUGAGUUUUUGACAACUUAAGACCCUUUAUAACCCUUUGUAAAUCUAAGUUAUUUAGUAAUGUAAUUGAUAUGUUCAGUUCGCGAGAAGCUGUGUUCAAGCUUAUAUGAGAGCCACAACCCUGCCAGCACACAUUUGCUUCGAUGUACAAUGGUAAUCACCAUUUUCAUCAUUGACUCUUGUUUUUCUCUUAAAUCUUAUUGAACAAUCCUUGACAUUUUUUUUUUGUUUCUUCUUGUGUCUUAAAUUGCAGAAUCUGUUCCCUUUAGCGAACUAAUCUCCUCUGAUUCCUUGAUUGCGAAACCUCUGUUUCUCAGUUGUUGAUUUUGUUCCAUUUACUUUUUUACUUGCUCUCUCUCUCACAUACAAAGACCAUAGCUUUUCCACAAGUUUCGUGGCAGAAAAUUUUCAGGCUUUCUAUAUCAGAUUUUGAGUGUUUGGUUACUUUAACAGCCCGCUUGUGCUGAUGGAUCUGGAAACUGAAAAUCGAAUAGCUUUGGUUCUGUUGAGAGAAGCAGCAGAGUUGAGGAGACAAGCUGAAAAAGAUGGUACCUGAGCUUAUAUUGAGAAGCCUAAUGUAAGGCAUCGACCUAACUCGAGGUUUCUCACAGCAACUGUCCUUGGUGUUCAACAAUCAAACAGAGCGGUAGAAACCAAUGAGAUGUGGUAGGCUCAGGAGCAAGAAAACGAAAGGCUCAAAAGAAAAUCAAGAGGAAAGCAGCAGCAGCAGUAGCCAAAUGAAGCGGAGUAGUAGUUUCUCGAAAAGGAGUUUGGAUAAGAGAUGUAGCUCCAUUAAUGAGGAGAGAAAUAUCACUCAUCAAUCAUCAUCGGACAAAAGAUUGUACUUGGAUGAUGAUGAUGAGAUUGAGUCUUUUCUCCGAUCACUGUAUAUAUGUCUAUUUGCUAUAGCUUCUGUUACCUUUAGCUUCCUUCAUCUUCUGAGUCUCUUUGUAAAUGACAGGAACAAACGUGGGAGAGGCUCUGUUGGUCCUAGGAUGGAUGAAACUGUCCCUUAUCUUCCCACCGAGAAGGUUGAUCAAUUGCAAAGUUCUGAUACAAGGGAAAGGAAGGUAGUCUUGCUGCAGCUUGGGCUCUAGCUAAUCUAUAUUAUCUUGCAUGUUAGAAACCUCUUUUAAGGGUUUAUAAAACUAUUUAUAAGAACUUAUAAAUCAUUUAUAAGGUUUUAUAAAUAUAUUUAUAAAAGUUUAUGAAUCUGUAUAUAAGGGUUUAUAAAAAUAUUAUAAGAGUUUAAUAAUCUUCAUAGCACAAUUAAUAACAUCCAGAGGUUCGUGGGGAUAUUGAGUUUGCUGUAUAUCGUUGCGUUCUUGGCGAGUGUCUCCAAGAAGAAUGGGGAGUGUUGGAGAAGUCUCCGGAGGCGGCUUUAAAUGUGGAUCAGACGAUCUUCGUGGCUGUGGCGGAAGACGUGGAGAGGAGCAAAACGAUGGUGUUAUGGGCGGCAAGAAACUUCUCCAGUAAGAAGAUUUGCUUGCUUUACGUCCAUCGUCCUGCUCGGCCUGCCUCCUGCAGUGAGAAUCUUCUGCUUCUCUUUCUCUCUGACUUAACUGUUUUGUGGUGAAUUAUAGAAUAUUUCUGGAUGUUGAAUUGUUCUUGAGUGUAGAUUUGCUCAUGAAUCAUGAUUGAACCUUACCGAGUCUAUAUAUAUAUCCUUUAGUUGA